rnacentral:rRNA from 1 species
GAUGAACGCUGACAGAAUGCUUAACACAUGCAAGUCGAUUCGAUUUACCUUCGGGUAUUGAGGAUGGCGGACGGGUGAGUAACGCGUAAGGAACUUGCCUCUUGGACUGGGACAACUGUUGGAAACGACAGCUAAUACCGGAUAUUAUGAGAUUCUCGCAUGGGAAACUUAUGAAAGCUAUAUGCGCCAAGUAGAGAGCCUUAGCGUUCCGAUUAGCUAGUUGGUGGGGUAAUGGCCCACCAAGGCGACGAUGGAUAGCCGGCCUGAGAGGGUGAACGGCCACAAGGGGACUGAGACACGGCCUUACUCCUACGGGAGGCAGCAGUGGGAAUAUUGGACAAU